UGGGGAAUAUUGCACAAUGGGCGAAAGCCUGAUGCAGCAACGCCGCGUGAGUGAUGAAGGCCUUCGGGUUGUAAAGCUCUGUCUUUUGGGACGAUAAUGACGGUACCAAAGGAGGAAGCCACGGCUAACUACGUGCCAGCAGCCGCGGUAAUACGUAGGUGGCAAGCGUUGUCCGGAUUUACUGGGCGUAAAGGAUGCGUAGGCGGAUUUUUAAGUGAGAUGUGAAAUACCCGGGCUUAACUUGGGUGCUGCAUUUCAAACUGGGAAUCUAGAGCUGGCGGAGAGAAAUGGAAUUCCUAGUGUAGCGGUGAAAUGCGUAGAGAUUAGGAAGAACACCAGUGGCGAAGGCGAUUCUCUGGACCGUAACUGACGCUGAGGCAUGAAAGCGUGGGUAGCAAACAGGAUUAGAUACCCUGGUAGUCCACGCCGUAAACGAUGAGUACUAGGUGUAGGAGGUAUCGGACCCCUUCUGUGCCGCAGUUAACACAAUAAGUACUCCGCCUGGGAAGUACGAUCGCAAGAUUAAAAACUUAA
rnacentral:rRNA from 1 species